AAAAGAAAGAGCAGCCACGUAAGAGAAGAGGAAUGGCACUUAAUUAAUUUAAGAGAAAAUGAGUGAGCAGCCACGUAAAAGAAGAGCAAUUCUGUUUUGGGCCUUAGGCCAAAGUUAAGUUGUCGUUAUGUGUCAGGAGAUAAACCUUCAUUUUCAUUCAAGAGGAGAGGGACUAGAGAUCUUGGUCUCCAUAUUCAUUCUCAGCCCUACAUCGCAAUGAGAGGAAGUUUAGAGACGAAACACAGCGACAACGAAUUUUGAGUUUUGGGUGAGUGGGCACGUCGAGGGAUGGGAGCUCCUCCACACCUGGUCACUAUGACGAGAAGGGCAGCAUUUGGAUAUCAAGAAAGAGGUGAUCAUGAAGACCAGAUCAAAGGAGAUGAUGCUACAGCGACGCUCGUGGUUCACGGAGAAAGAGUUGGCGCUUGUGGCACUUCUUGGUUCAUCCCGUCGGUGGAGGUCGGCCAGCGAUUAGUGGCGGGAAGAGAUCAAGGCGGUAGUGGCAACUAGUUGGGUGUUGUCCGCAGUUUCUGGAGGCGGCGACAGUCUUCGCCGGAUUCUGGGACUUUGGUCAUCGAUAUGAGGAGCUCGUUGGAGAAGAUAAAUGACCAGCUAGUCAGAAACAGGAGUCGGGUGAACAAUCAUGAGUUAUGAAAGUCUGGUGGUCUGUCCGCAAAAUUGGGAAGAUAAUAACCUUAGUAUAAUUUCUAUAAGUUCAAGGACUGGAUUGUACUUUCUGGAAAGCUAGGUGACUCAUUUGCUUUUACUAUUUUCCUAAGACUAUUUUUUUAUCACCGAGAGAUGGAGGACUGGUUUUGUAAUUUUCCAUGUUGGGGUGUGGACAUGACAGUUCUACCCCUGAGUGUUUGAGCAAUAUGCAAAUGAGUAAUUGGAGCAUAACUUUACCGUUUCAACUCCAAAUGAUGCAUCAAUAGAAGUUGUGGAUUAGCGGCAACAAGGGGAAUCACCUCAUAUCUGAAUAAGAGAUGUUGAAUCGUCUAUGAGGUGGCGGUCCCGUUUAGUUGUUGUCCUCACCAAGUAGAAUGCAUGAUAGUUCUAGUAUGGUGUUAUUGUCUUCUACCAUGGGUAGUUGAUGAUCUGUGG
rnacentral:lncRNA from 1 species